rnacentral:rRNA from 1 species
UACGUAGGGGCCGAGCGUUGUCCGGAGUUAUUGGGCGUAAAGCGCGCGCAGGCGGCCUCGCGCGCCCGACGUGAAAGCCCCCGGCUUAACCGGGGAGGGUCGUUGGGGACGGCGGGGCUUGAGGGCGGGAGAGGUCGGUGGAAUUCCCGGUGUAGUGGUGAAAUGCGUAGAUAUCGGGAGGAACACCAGUGGCGAAGGCGACUACCUGGCCUGUUCUUGACGCUGAGGCGCGAAAGCUAGGGGAGCAAACAGG